UGGGGAAUAUUGCACAAUGGGCGAAAGCCUGAUGCAGCGACGCCGCGUGGAGGAUGAAGGCCUUCGGGUCGUAAACUCCUGUCUGGGGGGAUGAAUAAUGACAGUACCCCCGGAGGAAGCCCCGGCUAACUACGUGCCAGCAGCCGCGGUAAUACGUAGGGGGCAAGCGUUGUCCGGAAUUACUGGGCGUAAAGCGCGCGCAGGUGGCUUGUUAAGUCAGGUGUCAAAAUGCGGGGCUCAACUCCGCAGCGCACUUGAAACUGGCAGGCUUGAGUGCAGGAGAGGAAAGUGGAAUUCCUAGUGUAGCGGUGAAAUGCGUAGAUAUUAGGAGGAACACCAGUGGCGAAGGCGACUUUCUGGACUGCAACUGACACUGAGGCGCGAAAGCUAGGGGAGCAAACAG
rnacentral:rRNA from 1 species